rnacentral:rRNA from 1 species
GACGUAGGGCGCGAGCGUUGUCCGGAUUUACUGGGCGUAAAGAGCGCGCAGGCGGUCGUUCAAGUCGAGUGUGAAAGCCCCCGGCUCAACUGGGGAGGGUCAUUCGAUACUGAUCGACUCGAAGGCAGGAGAGGGAAGUGGAAUUCCCGGUGUAGUGGUGAAAUGCGUAGAUAUCGGGAGGAACACCAGUGGCGAAGGCGGCCAACUGGACCAUUACUGACGCUGAGGCGCGAAAGCGUGGGGAGCAAACAGG